UACAGAGGGUGCGAACGUUGCUCGGAAUUACUGGGCGUAAAGGGCUCGUAGGCGGCCAACUAAGUCAGACGUGAAAUCCCUCGGCUUAACCGGGAAACUGCGUCUGAUACUGGAUGGCUUGAGAUUGGGAGAGGGAUGCGGAAUUCCAGGUGUAGCGGUGAAAUGCGUAGAUAUUGGGAGGAACACCAGUGGCGAAGGCGGGCUACUGGGCCGAUACUGACGCUGAUGCGCGAAAGCGUG
rnacentral:rRNA from 1 species